rnacentral:rRNA from 1 species
UACGUAGGGUGCAAGCGUUAAUCGGAAUUACUGGGCGUAAAGCGUGCGCAGGCGGCCAUGCAAGACAGAUGUGAAAUCCCCGGGCUCAACCUGGGAAUGCGAUGGAGACUGCAAGGCUAGAAUCUGGCAGAGGGGGGUAGAAUUCCACGUGUAGCAGUGAGAUGCGUAGAGAUGUGGAGGAACACCGAUGGCGGAAGGCAGCCCCCUGGGUCAAGAUUGAC